rnacentral:rRNA from 1 species
AUUGAACGCUGGCGGCAGGCCUAAAACAUGAAAGUCGAGCGAGCGGCGGACGGGUGAGUAAUGUAUGGGGACUGCCCGAUAGAGGGGGAUAAAUACUGGAAACGGUGGCUAAUACCGCAUACUAUCGGAUAACCCACAGGUGAUUAGCUAGUAGGGGGGGUAAAGGCUCACCUAGGCGGCGAUAUAUCGCUGGUCUGAGAGGAUGAUCAUCCACAUUGGACGUGGGACCCGUCCCAGACUCCUACGGAGGUAGCAGUGGGGAAUAUUGCACAAGGGGCGCAAGCCGGAUGCAGCCAUGCCGCGUGUGUGAAGAAUGCCUUAGGUUUUUAAAGUCCGUUCAGCGUUGAGGCGUUACCCACAGAAGAAGCACCGGCUAACUCCGUGCCAGCAGCCGCGGUAAUAC